rnacentral:rRNA from 1 species
GACAGAAGGUGCAAGCGUUACUCGGAAUUACUGGGCGUAAAGCGUGCGCAGGCGGUUCGUUGUGUCGGCGGUGAAAGCCCCGGGCUCAACCUGGGAAUGGCCGUUGAAACUGGCGAACUGGAGUGUGGCAGAGGGGGGUGGAAUUCCGCGUGUAGCAGUGAAAUGCGUAGAGAUGCGGAGGAACACCGAUGGCGAAGGCAGCCCCCUGGACUAACACUGACGCUCAGGCACGAAAGCGUGGGGAGCAAACAGG